rnacentral:rRNA from 1 species
UACGUAGGUGGCAAGCGUUGUCCGGAUUUACUGGGUGUAAAGGGCGUGUAGACGGGUAAGCAAGUCAGAUGUGAAAUACCGCAGCUUAACUGCGGGGCUGCAUUUGAAACUGCGUAUCUUGAGUGCGGGAGAGGAAAGCGGAAUUCCUAGUGUAGCGGUGAAAUGCGUAGAUAUUAGGAGGAACACCAGUGGCGAAGGCGGCUUUCUGGACCGUAACUGACGUUGAGGCGCGAAAGCGUGGGUAGCAAAC